rnacentral:rRNA from 1 species
GACGGGGGCCCGCACAAGCGGUGGAGCAUGUGGUUUAAUUCGAUGCAACGCGAAGAACCUUACCUGGUCUUGACAUAGUAAGAACUUUCCAGAGAUGGAUUGGUGCCUUCGGGAACUUACAUACAGGUGCUGCAUGGCUGUCGUCAGCUCGUGUCGUGAGAUGUUGGGUUAAGUCCCGCAACGAGCGCAACCCUUUUCCUUAUUUGCCAGCGGGUUAAGCCGGGAACUUUAAGGAUACUGCCAGCGACAAACUGGAGGAAGGCGGGGACGACGUCAAGUCAUCAUGGCCCUUACGACCAGGGCUACACACGUGCUACAAUGGUCGGUACAAAGGGUUGCUACCUAGCGAUAGGAUGCUAAUCUCAAAAAGCCGAUCGUAGUCCGGAUUGGAGUCUGCAACUCGACUCCAUGAAGUCGGAAUCGCUAGUAACCGCGAAUCAGCAGGUCCGCGGUCGAAUACGUUCCGGGCCUU